AAACUGACAGCUGACGAGGAGAGUGCAAGUUGGAGUGAUUUAGCGGUGUUUUAGCGGAGUUUUAGUGAAGUUUGGGUGGCGUUUUCUUUGUAAAUAAUACUUAGUGUUGUAAAUAAUAAUGUUUGUGGUUUUUUGAGAGCCUUUGAGGUUUUUUAUGCCAUGUUUUUGAGUGUUUUUUGCCGUGUUUUCGUCGUGUUUUCACCAUAGUUCGUAGUUUUGCAAUCGUUUGUCUUUUUUGCAAUAGUUGGUGUUUUUAUAGUUCAUAGAUAGUUAUAGUCAGUUAUAGUUUUGUAAAUACUGGAGGAAAAAUGUCGGGGAGGUCGACGAGGGACAGGAGAGUCCCGUUGAGAUUUGUGGAUGAGGAGGAUGGACCGGAGGAGACUGGUGGAGUGUAGUCAUUUCAACCACAACGCUCUUAUUAAGGCUGAACUCCUCCAAGGCCCCUGUAUCUUCCUCCCUCUGCCUUCACCUUGCCCUCAUCUGCUCCCACGGCUUCUUCGCGGCUGCCCAAUUUCACCGACCUGAGUUUCUAAGUUCCACCUUUGUUGCAGAGAGUCCUCCUCUGGGGAUCCCAAAGCAAUAAUACAGCAUCAGAGGCAAAGGGUAUUGAUCCUGGUGCCAAGAGAGAAAUGGAGGAAAUGGUCUUGGGAAUCUACAUUACCCAACAUGAUGGAGCAGAGCCCAGCCUGAAAAUGUCGGCGUAAUUAUUUUAAAAGUGCUGUAAGUCUGAAGAAGCUAGUUGCUAAAAUGGAUGGUCCAAAGGGACCAGUCCUGUCCUACUGAGCUGAGAUUGGCUGAAGCACAUCAUGAUAUUCAUCCAGUCCUCGCAAACGAACGUUUUGGGGGGGGGUGCACGAAAUCCCACUUAAGGACAGCUGACAGAGGGCCUUUGGCCUUGGGCACAGACCCUGCUGACCUCCCGUCCUCCCUCUGGUCCUGUGGCGGAGGAGCAGAGCACAGCCUGGGCUUGCUGGAGGCAGCUUAGGGGCUGUGGGAUAUAGCCAGGCAGCUGAGAGAUGAGCCAGGGCCUGCAGAGCAUGCUGGAGGAGGAUUACUGCUCAUUGGGAUGCAAUUUUUCUGGAGCAUUCAUCACAGAUGUAUUUUCCCAAGCAUGGACUGCAGUCAUGGACAGCAGUAACAACAAACAGUUCUCAUUCCGAGUGGUGAGAUACCUAGCUUUGUCACAUCCCUCUGAGUCUCAAAGUGACGCACGGGGCACCCUUUAGUGUCUCUAUAGACCCUUUUACACAGCCUCUUCAAGAUGAGAAUUUCAUGCCGCUUCACCAUUCUGUGUAGGGGGUAAAAUCACAGAAUGGGGGGGGGGCAGAGUUUUGUUUCCUUUAAGCUGGCAGGGAAGGUAGUAACAAUGCCAAAACAACCACUGUGUAAGGGGACAGCCGCAGGACAGGGUCAUUGGAGGCACAGGUGUGACAUUUGGGUAUCUGUUAUGCAUGAAACCUGCAGCGGUAGACUUAAAAUGUAGCUGAUAGCAGUUAGCAGCUAACUCAAAGAGAAGAACAGUGGCCAAAAAUGAAUUGGGAAAACAAUGAGGUCCAGGCGGUCAUAUUGUAACACAUUGUUGAUGUUGUUAAAGGGUGACUGUUAAGUUUGGUCAACAAAUCUACUUGGGAAUAAAAAUCACGUAUAAUGUCAGUGCUUAAUGACCGUUCGUAAAUAUGGUCAUGUUACAUUAAAAUAAUAAUGACUCUUGUUUUCCCAUGGGACACAAACUGCUGUUACCUGAGUUAAAGUUCAGUUUUGUUUGACCCAUCCAACUCACUUACCUCCUACUCCACACAGACUUUCUUGCCCUUGCUUAAACUACGAUAGCACUUCUUUUUCUUUUCUUUCUUUCUUUCUUUUUUUUUCGAGUGGUAAAAUAAAGCUGUUGCAGUGAGGUUAGUGUAGCUGUUUAUGUCUGUAGAAAUAUAAUAUCUUUGGGUUUUUAGAUGUUUCAUUAAACACAAGUUUACAAGACAUACGUUUAAAGACAGCUCUUUGAGCUCUUUGUAUUUAUUGUUGACGUAAUCUUAUGAUGUGUUAAAGACCAAAUAAUUCUGGCAUGGGAGCAGUGCAUUUUAAAGGGUUUUAACUUCAUCAGUGUUAAAUGGAAGAGGGUUAACUGAACAAUUGAUAGUUUUUUGCAGUUUGAUGAGUCACUAUCUGUACAUUUUUGUCUUUUUAUUGUAAUUUCUUUUUAGUUCAUUUAUUUUGAGUGUUUAAAGUGUAAAGUGAUGAAUGCCUGUAUAAAGUAUGGAGUUUUGUUAACAUUUUUAAUGUAUUUGCUUCCUUUGUUUCAUUGUGAGAUAAACAUGAAGCUUUACUUCUUUGGGCUUUUGCCACAUG